AGCGGCGGAUGGGUGAGUAACACGUGGGGAACCUGCCCCUAAAUCUGGGAUACUAUUUGGAAACAGGUGCUAAUACCGGAUAAUAAAGCAGAUCGCAUGAUCAGCUUUUGAAAGGCGGCGUAAGCUGUCGCUAAGGGAUGGCCCCGCGGUGCAUUAGCUAGUUGGUAAGGUAACGGCUUACCAAGGCGACGAUGCAUAGCCGAGUUGAGAGACUGAUCGGCCACAUUGGGACUGAGACACGGCCCAAACUCCUACGGGAGGCAGCAGUAGGGAAUCUUCCACAAUGGACGCAAGUCUGAUGGAGCAACGCCGCGUGAGUGAAGAAGGUUUUCGGAUCGUAAAGCUCUGUUGUUGGUGAAGAAGGAUAGAGGUAGUAACUGGCCUUUAUUUGACGGUAAUCAACCAGAAAGUCACGGCUAACUACGUGCCAGCAGCCGCGGUAAUACGUAGGUGGCAAGCGUUGUCCGGAUUUAUUGGGCGUAAAGCGAGCGCAGGCGGAAAAAUAAGUCUAAUGUGAAAGCCCUCGGCUUAACCGAGGAACUGCAUCGGAAACUGUUUUUCUUGAGUGCAGAAGAGGAGAGUGGAACUCCAUGUGUAGCGGUGGAAUGCGUAGAUAUAUGGAAGAACACCAGCGGCGAAGGCGGCUCUCUGGUCUGCAACUGACGCUGAGGCUCGAAAGCAUGGGUAGCGAACAGGAUUAGAUACCCUGGUAGUCCAUGCCGUAAACGAUGAGUGCUAAGUGU
rnacentral:rRNA from 1 species